UACGUAGGGAGCUAGCGUUGUCCGGAAUCAUUGGGCGUAAAGCGCGCGCAGGCGGUCCUUUAAGUCUGAUGUGAAAGCCCACGGCUCAACCGUGGAGGGUCAUUGGAAACUGGGGGACUUGAGUGUAGAAGAGGAAAGCGGAAUUCCACGUGUAGCGGUGAAAUGCGUAGAGAUGUGGAGGAACACCAGUGGCGAAGGCGGCUCUCUGGGACGGUACUGACGCUGAGACGCGAAAGCGUGGGGAGCGAACAGG
rnacentral:rRNA from 1 species